rnacentral:lncRNA from 1 species
AGCACCACUACUAAGGAGAAUCAUGAAAACAAUGAAGGUCUCAAACCAGUUAUGUUCAACUAUUCGGAAACACGUCCUUCUCAGGUUCCACCAUUGUUUUCCUCUGCCUUCUUCCACAUUGAUUUGACAACACUUGAAUCUUUGUACACAGCCUGAGAUCCGAUUCACUACUAAAGUCUUCCGUGUUUAAAUUUUCAAAGUCAGAUUCUCCUACAGCAAUUGGUACAGUCACAGUAAGACUGGGGUUGUUUAUGAAUGACAUGUAAUCA